GACGAACGCUGGCGGCGUGCUUAACACAUGCAAGUCGAGCGGUAAGGCCCUUUCGGGGGUACGACGAGCGGCGAACGGGUGAGUAGCACGUGGGUGACCUGCCCUCAGCUCUGGGAUAAGCCUGGGAAACCGGGUCUAAUACUGGAUAUGACUCCAUGACGCAUGUUGUGGGGUGGAAAGCCUUGUGCGGCUGAGGAUGGGCCCGCGGCCUAUCAGCUUGUUGGUGGGGUGAGGCCCUACCAAGGCGACGACGGGUAGCCGGCCUGAGAGGGCGACCGGCCACACUGGGACUGAGACACGGCCCAGACUCCUACGGGAGGCAGCAGUGGGGAAUCUUGCGCAAUGGGCGAAAGCCUGACGCAGCGACGCCGCGUGAGGGAUGACGGCCUCGGUU
rnacentral:rRNA from 1 species